AAGUCGUAACAAGGUUUCCGUAGGUGAACCUGCGGAAGGAUCAUUUGUGAAAAUUUAAUGUUUUUUUUGAAGAGGGGUAAAAUCCUUUUUAGAAAAACAUAAAAAAAGAGAUUUCUUGUGGUUUAUAAAUGAUUUUUAAAAAAAUUGUUUGUUGUUGGAAAUUUAAACUUUCAAUGACAAACAAUUUAUAUUUUUAAAAUCAGUUUUUAUAAAAAACUAUUUUAAACAUGUAUUAAAAAAUUAACAGUUUUAAAAAAUAAAUUAAAAAAAAUUAAAACUGUCAACGGUGGAUCUCUUGGCUCGU
rnacentral:misc_RNA from 1 species